CUUAAAUGUAAUAAUAUAUUAAUCAAUAACCAUGAAUUUCUUUAAAUCACAUUGCUUACUCACAACACGGCAUUGAUGAGACAUUGCCAAGACUGUCUAAAAACUCAGGAAAUGACAGCGAAUGUAGAUCAAGAAGAUGGGAUUUUUCUUAUGAUAUUGCUCAUCUAUAUGUAAUGGGUUCAAUGUGGUGGUUUAAACAACAGCCAAGACCACCACUAGUACAUUCAAAUUCUUUAUAGGCUUUCUUCUGCAGAAGGGAAAAAAUGGCAGCUUGUCAUCUCCGUUCAAUCAGCUUACCAUCUAGACCUCAUCCUCUAAACGUAAAUAUUGAGGAGCAGUUGUGCAAGUUGAAGGCAUCACAAUCCUCAUUAAUAGGGCACAAAUUGAGUGGUCUAAAGGAUUUGUUCGAGUCUGUUGAUGAUUUUCUUCAACUGUCAUUUGCCAAACAGACUACCUCCAAUGAGAGGCAAAGCCAGGCCAUAGAAAAUGCAAUGAAUGGAUCUCUGGAGCUCUUGGAUAUAUGUGAUACCACAAGAGAUUUAUUUUCACAGAUGAAGGAAUGUUUGCAACAACUUGAACUAUCUCUGCGUAGAAGUAAAGGCGGAGACUGCAGCUUGACAAGAGAAGUUGAUGCAUACAUGGUAUCUAGAAAGAAGUUGAACAAAGAAGUUUGCAAGUGUCUACGAAAUUUGAAGAAAAAGGAGAGGAAUUGCACAACAGCAGCCUUUCACAAUAGCUCCAAUUUGGAAAACAUGAUCAGCACGCUAAGAGGAGUUCAAGAAAUUAGUCUCGUGGUGUUUGAAUCGAUCUUAUCUUUCAUUUCUAAGCCAAAGGCAAAAUCAUUGCCCUCUGGCUGGUCUGUAAUCCCAAAACUGUUGCAAUCCAAGCGUGUUUCAAGUGAAGUGGAAAAUGAAGCAAGUGAAGUAGAGAAGAUUGAUGCUGAAUUGUUUAUCCUGAAGUCAAGCAAAGGCAUCAGCAUUUCAGCAAUUCCAAACCUUCUGAAAGGAUUGGAGACUUUGGAGUCGAGCAUUCAAGAAGCUGAAGAGGAUCUGGAAUGCAUCUAUAGGCGUUUGGUGAAAACCAGAGUUUCCCUUCUAAACAUUCUGAAUCAUUAGUGGCAUUGCUUCCAUGAGCUGCUCCCAGACACCAGGCACCACAGCCAGAGUUGCUCAAGAGUCUCAAUAUCCAUUGGUAUGCAGAAAAUAUAUGAAAAGAACAAUAAUGUGCAUGUUCUUGUUUGUCUGGGAAGGAAGCUGCAUCUUGCUCAUGGAUGUAAAUAUUUUAUUGAAGUUCAUCAGAUUCUGCACAUGCAAACAAUGCACAAAACAACUAUAUCAAAAUAACAAUGUUAAACUAUUAUUAUGAUUAUCAUAAUAGAAUCAUUUCAUGCAAGCAUGGAUUCAAGUUUAAUGCUAUAUAAUUUGAUGGUUAUCUUAAUGCGUUGGAACCUUGGGGCCAUGGUAUUUGUUGUGACAAUAUUAUAAUCAUUUAUCAAAAGUUUGUUUAAUCAUAUUGCUUAAUCACAACACAACAAUGUUGAGACAUUGCUGGGACAGUAACAAAACUCAGCACAUGACAGCUAAUGUAGAUCAGGAAAAUGGACUCCUAAUUCUAUUGGUCUUACAGAUAUAAGGUGCUCAAUGGAAUGGCUUAAACAGCAACUAAGACCACCCGCACCCUCACAUUCUCGGUAGGCUUUCUUGUGCAGAAGGAAAAAAAUGGCUGCUUGUCAUUUCCGAUCAAUCAGUUUACCAGCAAGAUCUCAUCCUCUAACUGUUACUACUGAGGAGGAGUUGUACAAGUUGAAGGCAUCAGAGUCUUCAUCAAUAGGCCACAAAUUAAGUGGCCUAAAGAAUUUGUUCGAGUCUGUCAAUGAUUUGCUUCAACUGCGGCUGGCCCAUCAGACCCUCUCACAUGACAGGCAAAGCCAGUGUGCAGAAAAUGCACUGAAUGGAUCUCUGGAGCUGUUGGAUUUGUGUGAAUCCACAAGAGACUUUUUCUCACGGAUGAAGGAAUGUGUGCAGGAGCUUGAAUUAUCUCUCCGUAGAGCAAAAGGCAGAGACUGUCACUUGACAGUCGAAGUCGAUGCAUACAUGGUAUCCAGAAAAAAGUUGAACAAAGCAAUUUGCAAAUGUCUAAGAAAUUUGAAGAAAAGGGAGAGGAAUUAUACAACAGCAGUUUUGGAUGGUAACUCCAAUUUGAUGAACAUGAUUAGCAUUCUAAGAGGAGUUCAAGAAAUCAGUCUUGCGGUAUUUGAGUCAAUCUUAUCUUUCAUUUCUCAGCCAAAGGCAAAAUCAAUGCCCUCUGGGUGGUCCGUCAUCUCAAAAUUAUUGCAAACCAAGCGCGUCUCAUGCGAAGUAGAAAAUGGAGUCAAUGAAGCAGAGAAGAUUGAUGCUGAAUUGAUUACCCUGAAGUCAAGCAAAGACAUCUGUCUUUCACAACUUCAAAACCUUCUUAAAGGAUUGGAAGCAUUUGAGUCAAGCAUUCAAGAGGCAGAAGAAGAGCUGGAAUGCAUU
rnacentral:misc_RNA from 1 species